ACUCAAAUGAAUAGACGGGGGCCCGCACAAGCAGCGGAGCAUGUGGUUUAAUUCGAAGCAACGCGAAGAACCUUACCAAGGCUUGACAUCCCACUAAACUCAUGGAAACAUGAGGUCCCUUCGGGGGAGUGGAGACAGGUGGUGCAUGGUUGUCGUCAGCUCGUGUCGUGAGAUGUUGGGUUAAGUCCCGCAACGAGCGCAACCCCUAUUGCCAGUUACCAGCACGUAAAGGUGGGAACUCUGGUGAGACCGCCGGGGACAACUCGGAGGAAGGUGGGGACGACGUCAAAUCAUCAUGCCCCUUAUGUCUUGGGCUACACACGUGCUACAAUGGCAGUUACAGAGGGCAGCGAAGCGGUAACGUGAAGCGAAUCUCAAAAAAGCUGUCUCAGUUCGGAUCGUGGGCUGCAACCCGCCCACGUGAAGUCGGAGUUGCUAGUAAUCGCGAAUCAUCAUGUCGCGGUGAAUACGUUCCCGGGCCUUGUACACACCGCCCGU
rnacentral:rRNA from 1 species